GCCUCAGUUGCUGGAUAGCUCAGUUGAUAGGGCAUAGGACUCUUAAUCUCAGGGCAAUGGGUUCAAUCCCCAUGUUGGGUG